UUAAGUACUUUUUCGGGCA
rnacentral:siRNA from 1 species